CACAGUCUGUUUUUCUCCUCUCAUUACUGUAACUUUUCAUAUGAUCCUCUCCUCGAUUUGUAAACGCUCAUCAAAUUCCAACAUCACCAUCACCAAACCUAUAAUCGAAACAAAAAACACAAAAACCCCAACAUCAACAUCACAAACUAACAUGAACAGUACAAUAUUUAGGAUCAAGAAGCCAAAACUAGAUUCUGCGAUGAGGAAAAUGUGAUCUUCCAAGAGCCUUAGGAUCGUUGAUUUUGUGCGAGAGAGUGUUGCGACAGUUAACAGAUCGGCGACUGCAACAUUGCGGCGCAAGUCCACUAUGCUCACUCUGUGUUUUUCUUCCAACUUUCUUCAACAGAGGGAAAGGAGACACGCAACAAAACUAGCAAAGAGAGAAAGAGAGUUGUGAGUGACCAGCACACAACACCAUCUUCAAAACCAAGAGAGACCCACCAGUUCUUUCCUAAAACCUAUUUUUAUUUUUAUUGUUUUGUAAAUCUAGUCAAAAAUGUUUUAAAAACUAAAAAAACACAAACUCACAAUAAAUUUAUCCAAAUAGAUUUUAGAUUAAAAGUAACAUUUCAUUUUAGUUCACAAACUCUCCA
rnacentral:lncRNA from 1 species